rnacentral:rRNA from 1 species
GACGAACGCUGGCGGCGUGCUUAACACAUGCAAGUCGAACGGAAAGGCCCUGCUUUUGUGGGGUGCUCGAGUGGCGAACGGGUGAGUAACACGUGAGUAACCUGCCCUUGACUUUGGGAUAACUUCAGGAAACUGGGGCUAAUACCGGAUAGGAGCUCCUGCUGCAUGGUGGGGGUUGGAAAGUUUCGGCGGUUGGGGAUGGACUCGCGGCUUAUCAGCUUGUUGGUGGGGUAGUGGCUUACCAAGGCUUUGACGGGUAGCCGGCCUGAGAGGGUGACCGGCAACAUGGGGAAUGAUACACGGCAGGGCCCCCGCGGGGGGCAGGACGGGGGGUAUAGUGACGAAGGGCCGGAGCCUGGACGCCGCCCCGCCGGGGGGGGGAGGAGGGCUUUCGGUUUGUAAAACAGUUCCGCCUGGGAAGAAGGGGCAGGGAGGGGAAUGGGUAAAGAACACCCGACAACUUCCGUC